rnacentral:rRNA from 1 species
CGGAGGGGGCAAGCGUUGUUCGGAUUUACUGGGCGUAAAGGGCGCGUAGGCGGAUGUUCGCGUCAGAGGUGAAAGCCCCGGGCUCAACCUGGGAACUGCCUUUGAAACGGGACAUCUUGAGUUCGGAAGAGGGUAGCGGAAUUCCCAGUGUAGAGGUGAAAUUCGUAGAUAUUGGGAAGAACACCAGUAGCGAAGGCGGCUACCUGGUCCGACACUGACGCUGAGGCGCGAAAGCGUGGGGAGCAAACAGGAUUAGAUACCCGUGUAGUCCCUGAGCGGG